AUCGGAUGUCCCAAACGCAGAUUUUUGUCAACUUCUGUGAGUUUGUGUUUCUAGGCGGCACUGUGUAUACCCUGGGGACAGUGGUGUCUGGGGCUGAGCACUGCACUGGGCUUGGGAGCAGAAGAGGGAGCAGCAGGGCGGGAGGAGGAUCUACCAGGGGAGCAGGGACAAGUCAUUUUCAUUUUCUCAUUCCCAGGGACCAGAAACCAGGAUUCUGACUCCAGGGCACAGUACCACACCCUACUGGUGUCCCUGGAUGUCAUGAGUGCUCAUAGUGUCAUGUUACCUUGACAUUCAUUUUUUAAGGUGUAAGUUUUUUUGCCUCACAUCAGAGUCAGGUCUUGGUCACCAUGGCAGUUUUCAAUACUCUAUCUGUUUCAAGUGGCUCCAGUUUGUGUCCAGAGAUAAAAUCUUAGAGGCAUCUCUCCUGCUUGGUGUGCUGGGCUCCCCUCUCUCCAGCUGCUUUCUUUAAACGGAUAAUUCUGGCAUUUGCCCUCACAUUUAAAGUGACCACUUGUCAGUCACAGCAUGCUCUCCUGGUCCCAGUGUUUGCUCUCCUGGUCCCAGUGUUUGACAUCUGUGGUCUCCAGGUGUGUCGAGUGCUCCCCAGUGUCUGGAAGUAGUAAAAACACUUACACUUUCACGUUGUGGUUUUAUCAUUAUAGCCUCACAUGCCAUCCAGGGCCUGACAUGGAAGGCUGCCCUAUGAGACCUGUGCUGGUUGAACCCCUGCUGGAGCUCUUGUUUUGGGACCUCUGGUUUUUCUGGGGACAGGAGUCUGCAGCUAACUUGAUUGAAAAAGUGAUAUGUUUCAUGGAAAACACUGGGUCAGAUGAUGUAUUCAUGUGCUUCAGCUGCCAUAACAAACACCUUAACCUGGGUGAAUUAAAUAAUAGAAAUAGAUUUUGCAUAGUUCUGUGAAUAAUGUGCUAUUUUAAUCACUUUAAAAUGUACAAUCAGGUGGAAUUAACCACAUACACAGUGUUAAGUUCCCAUCACCACUAUUUUUCCUGGAAAACUUUAGUCAUUUUAAACUGAAACUUUGUAUCUUUGAAACAAUAAUAACUCCCUGUUAUUUUCCACCCUAGACCUUGAUCAUCUCUACUCUAUCUCUGAAUUUGCCUAUUCUUGAUGUUUCAUAUAAAUGGAAUUAUAUAUGUAUAUGUUAUUAAUUUCUGACAUAUUUCACUUAGCAUAAUGUUUCCAAAGUCCAUGCAUGUUGCAGUGGAUGUCAGAGCUUCCUUCCUUUUUAUGGCAGAUUAACAUUCUGUUGCAUGUGUCACCACAUUUGUUUUUUCAUGAGUUGAUGAACACUUGGAUUGUUUUCAUAUUUUAUCUUUUGUGAGUAAUGCUGCAAUCAACAUUCCCAUGCCAGUACCUAUUUGAGUCCCUGGAUUCAAUUCUUUGGGUAUAUACCUAGGAAUGGAUACUGUUUCAUGUGAGAAUUCUAUGAUUAUCUUCUUGAGGAACAGCACAACUGUUUCUGCUAGUGGCUGUACCUUUUUAUAAUCUCACCAGCAAUGCUUUUUCCCCAUCUUUGUGGUUUUAUCUGCCUCUGGUCUUUGAUGAUGGUGAUGUACUGAUGGGGUUUUUGGUGUGGGUGUCCUUCCUGUUUGUUAGUUUUCCUUCUAACAGUCAGGACCCUCAGCUGUAGGUCUGUUGGAGAUUGCUUGAGUUCCGCUCCAGACCCUGUUUGCCUGGGUAUCAGUAGCAGAGGCUGCAGAAGAUAGAAUAUUGCUGAACUGCGAGUGUACCUGUCUGAUUCUUGCUUUGGAAGCUUCCUCUCAGGGAUGUACUCCACCGUGUGAGGUGUGGGGUGUCGCUUUGCCCCUAGUGGGGGAUGUCUUCCUGUUAGGCUACUCAGGGGUCAGCGACCCACUUGAGCAGGCAGUCUGUCCCUUCUCAGAUCUCAACCUCCGUGUUGGGAGAUCCACUGCUCUCUUCAAAGCUGUAAGACAGAGUCGUUUACGUCUGCAGAGGUUUCAGCUGCUUUUUUGUUGUUAUUGUUUAGCUGUGCCCUGUUCCCAGAGGUGGAGUCUACAGAGACAGGCAGGACUCCUUGAGCUGCUGUGAGCUCCACCCAGUUCAAGCUUCCCAGCCACUUUGUUUAUCUACUUAAGCUUCAGCAAUGGCAGAGCCCUCCCCAGCCCUCACUGCUGCCUUGUGGCUGAAUCGCAGACUGCUGUGCUAGCAAUGAGGGAGGCUCCGUGGGCGUGGGACCCUCCCGGCCAGGUGUGGGAUAUAAUCUCCUGGUGUGCCCGUUUUCUAAGAUCCUUGGUAAAGCGCAGUAUUGGGGUGGGAGUUACCCGAUUUUCCAGGUGUUUUGUGUCUCAGUUCCUCUAGGUAGGAUAAGGGAUUCCCUUCCCCCUUGCUUCCCAGGUGAGGCAAUGCCUCACCCUGCUUCAGCUCUUGCUGGUCGGGCUGCAGCAGCUGACCAGCACCGACUGUACCCCAUUCCCUAGUGAGAUGAACCCAGUACCUCAGUUGAAAAUGCAGAAAUCACCU
rnacentral:lncRNA from 1 species